GCAAAGAAAUUCCGGUGACCAUUGAAUGCUCAAUCGCCCUAACCCAUCCGAUGUUCAAAUUUAUGACCAUCGGAUGUUCAAAGGAUUUCCAAAAUCACCAACACAAACGCAUUCUGAAUCACACGAUUUUGUUCAUGUUCUAGUAUGCGUGAUAUUUGCGCACACCGUACUGUCAAGCGAAAAAUUUCUUCUUCGUCCUCUUUGAAAUAGCCGGCCCUUCUUCGUUGCCAGUUUGACGUUUCGCUUUAAUCGCAGUAGGCUGUGCCCGGUUUGCCAGCUUUAUUUUCGCGUAUCAACGGUAGUCGGACCGGGAAAGUUUCCGCCGGUGAUUCCGUGCUCGCCGCACGAUCGUGAGUGUCAAAAAGUGGUUCCCGUGCGAGGUCAAAGUGGAUCCUGAACCCCGACUACCGGGAUGAAAACAAUUUUCUAAAUGAGUGAAAUAAAUUUAAUCAUCCAAUCAACCAAGAUGAUGGCAGCACUAGUGGCAAUUUGAGCCUAUUUUCGGGCAACCCGCAUGGCAAAACUUGGGCAUACCGGUGACCACGGAGGAGACCAAGCAAUCGAAACUGCCAAACCCACCGGAAACAGCUGAUGCCGUACAAGCAGUACUCACGCAAGAGGCGGCGAUUUGAAGCUGUCGACGUUGGACAGAUUAUUGGGAAGCAGUGGCGCGAUUCUCUCGAAAGGAGGAUUCCACCACGGAGUACAAGGCUCGAUCGAGGAUCAAGGAAAAAUACUCCGACGCCAUCGUUCCGGAUGUGAUGACCGCAAACACCAUGCAAGUUUGUUGAAUCGAGCUCAACUUGACUCUAAACUUGAGUAUGAUGGUCAACCUGCCGGAAGAUCACGUUAUGUUGAUACACAUUGCCAGCCGGAAGCACAAGAACCGAAGCGGACACGGUCCGGAACAUUGACGCGCCGAAGAACAAGUUCCAACUCCAAAUGCUUACGAGCCUGGCGAAACCGUUCCCGCUAUCAACCGGCUCAAGAAAAAGCUCGAUGGUGGGGCGCUGGACAUACAAGCUCGCCUGACUGACGUCGAUGCCCGAUUGUCGUCGACAGUCUCCUGACUUCCGCCGAGUUGGUCCUUCACCCAGGCGUCGCUCUUGAAGCCUACUCAGAAGAUUCAGUGCUGGCCGGCAACGAUCGCCGCUGCACUUCACCAAAAAUUGCGGCGCAGCUGUCGGAUCGCCCCUCACGCAACCUUCCUGACCGCGGAUCGCGUCGUCGGACCUUCAAAGGCCGCGAUUGCAAAUCUGACCGAGCCGGCCAGACGAACUACGAACACAAGAACUUGCGUGUGCGAACGUUGCUGGUCCGUAGAAGCAACUCCCAGCGCCCUCAGGUGGUGCAAGCCGACGCCAAUUCGGGGGAAUGAUCGACAACACCAAAGCUAGGGCUCUCGAGAGAAUUUCCGGCUCGGAUCUGCAAAGAUUGCUGUCAAACUUCAAGGACCUUUCCGACACGCAAAUCGCCGGAAACUUGAUCGACUGCAAGCACAAACUCAUCCUGCUGUCGCCAAAAAGCUCGUGAUUAAUUAUUGUCAUAGGGAUGACCAAACAACUUAGAUCCAUUAAAAGGUUGUGUGUGACUUAGUAUUAAAUUAAAGUUAAUUGAUAAUAUUAUAUUAUAACUAAUAAAAGAAGGUGCUAUGUUUUUUGAUAAGUAAUUUUCUCUUUUGGGAGGAAUAUUUAUCGAAACAGCCAAUUUGUCCUGUUAAAUCAAACAUUAAACUUAAUCGAUCGUGAUUUCUUGGUAAUUUCGAUUGAUUAAGUUAGAAUUUGUGUUAACAGGACAAAUUGACUUUCGAUAAAUAUUCUCUGAUGAUUUUUGGUUUGUGUCCUGGGAUAUCGAAUAAAUCCAUCUGGUGGCGAAAAGUGGAACUAACCCAGAUGCUGCUAACUAUAGUGGCGCCGCCAGUGGUGAAUAGGGCAAACUUCAACAAUUUUGUUUGCGACUGCACGCAUACACUGAAACGAGCUGUCAAGUUGCCAAAAAUCCUUUUGAACAUCGGAUGGUCAACUCGCUUUGAACAUCGAAUGCGCAUGAUCGUUUCUGAACAUCAAACGUUCAAAAAUUUUAUACCAACGUUCAGAAAAUUCGCAUUGGCGGU
rnacentral:lncRNA from 1 species